UACGUAGGGUGCAAGCGUUGUCCGGAAUUAUUGGGCGUAAAGAGCUCGUAGGCGGUCUGUCGCGUCUGCUGUGAAAACUCGGGGCUUAACCCCGGGCCUGCAGUGGGUACGGGCAGACUAGAGUGCGGUAGGGGAGACUGGAAUUCCUGGUGUAGCGGUGAAAUGCGCAGAUAUCAGGAGGAACACCGGUGGCGAAGGCGGGCUCACUGGGCCCGUAACUGACGCUCGAGUAGCGAACGACGUGGGGAGCAACAGG
rnacentral:rRNA from 1 species